AAAGCGUGCGCAGGCGGUUUUGUAAGACUGUCGUGAAAUCCCCGGGCUUAACCUGGGAAUGGCGAUGGUGACUGCAAGGCUAGAGUUUGGCAGAGGGGGGUAGAAUUCCACGUGUAGCAGUGAAAUGCGUAGAGAUGUGGAGGAACACCGAUGGCGAAGGCAGCCCCCUGGGUCAAGACUGACGCUCAUGCACGAAAGCGUGGGGAGCAAACAGGAUUAGAUACCCUGGU
rnacentral:rRNA from 1 species